rnacentral:tRNA from 1 species
UCCCCAGUGGCUCAGCGGUAAAGUAUCUGCCUGCAGUGCAGGAGACACAGGUUUGACCCCAGCUGGGGAA